GGUCAUACCAUCUUGAACACAUCCAAUCUUGUGUGAUCUCAGAAGCUAAGCAGGGUUAGGCCUGGUUAGCACUUGGGCAGGAGGCAAGGUCUCUUAAUCAA
ensembl:rRNA 5S_rRNA 5S ribosomal RNA